rnacentral:rRNA from 1 species
AGUUUGAUCAUGGCUCAGGAUGAACGCUAGCGGCAGGCUUAAUACAUGCAAGUCGUGGGGCAGCAGGUUGUAGCAAUACAGAUGCUGGCGACCGGCAAACGGGUGCGGAACACGUACAGAACCUUCCUUUGAGCGGGGAAUAGCCCAGAGAAAUUUGGAUUAAUACCCCAUAGUAUAAUGAAGUGGCAUCACUUUAUUAUUAAAGAUUUAUCACUCGAAGAUGGCUGUGCGGCUGAUUAGGUAGUUGGCGGGGUAAAGGCCCACCAAGCCUGCGACCAGUAACUGGUGUGAGAGCACGACCAGUCACACGGGCACUGAGACACGGGCCCGACUCCUACGGGAGGCAGCAGUAAGGAUAUUGGUCAAUGGAGGCAACUCUGAACCAGCCAUGCCGCGUGGAGGAUGAAGGUCCUCUGGAUUGUAAACUUCUUUUAUAUGGGACGAAAAAAGGCUUUUCUAAGUCGUCUGACGGUACCAUAUGAAUAAGCACCGGCUAACUCCGUG